CAAGUAUUUCCUUCAUCCCAUUGUCCAAGCAAUGUUCACUGGAAUGAUGAUGGUCUUGAGAACCAAGUGCAUUUUUUAUAUCCUUAAUGGUGGCAUGAGUUGACUGAUGAGAUGAGUGUGAUUGCCUCAUCCAAUUGAAAGUCCGUGGUAUCCCACUACGGAGCAUUCUUGAAAACACCGUUAAUCUCUUUUGAGUUUCAGGGAAUGGCUGACCUGUUCUGGAAUCUAUCAAACUAAGGAGAGUAUGUGAUACUUGCACAACUAAUUGAUUACACCAUAAAAUAGCCUGAUGUUCCAUCGACAACCAG
rnacentral:misc_RNA from 1 species